UACGGGGGGGGCUAGCGUUGUUCGGAAUUACUGGGCGUAAAGGGCGCGUAGGCGGUCUGCUAAGUUGGAUGUGAAAACUCUGGGCUUAACCCAGAGCCUGCAUUCAAUACUGACAGGCUAGAGUUCUGGAGGGGAUAGCGGAAUUCCUGGUGUGAGCGGUGAAAUGCGUAGAUAUCAGGAGGAACACCGGUGGCGAAGGCGGCUAUCUGGACAGAGUCUGACGCUGAGGCGCGAAAGCUAGGGGAGCAAACGGG
rnacentral:rRNA from 1 species